rnacentral:rRNA from 1 species
UGCUGCAUGGCCGUCGUCAGCUCGUGCCGUGAGGUGUUGGGUUAAGUCCCGCAACGAGCGCAACCCCCGCCGUUAGUUGCCAGCGGUUCGGCCGGGCACUCUAACGGGACUGCCCGCGAAAGCGGGAGGAAGGAGGGGACGACGUCUGGUCAGCAUGGCCCUUACGGCCUGGGCGACACACGUGCUACAAUGCCCACUACAAAGCGAGGCCACCCGGCAACGGGGAGCUAAUCUCUUAAAGCCAAUCUCAGUUCGGAUUGUAGGCUGCAACUCGCCUACAUGAAGUCGGAAUCGCUAGUAAUCGCGGAUCAGCACGCCGCGGUGAAUACGUUCCCGGGCCUU